ACCACUGCUAGCUCAAUCAAACCUAAAACCAAACUAUAAAGAAAUAAUAAAUCAAAACAUUUAGUUAAACAACAAAGUAUAGGAGAUAGAAAUGUAAAGUUGACGCUAUAGAGAUAGUACCGUAAGGGAAAGAUGAAAGAAGAUAAGUUUAAGUGCAAAAAAGCAAAGAUUAACCCUUGUACCUUUUGCAUAAUGAAUCAACUAGAAAUAGCCUAGCAAAGAGAACUGAGUUAGACCCCCCGAAACCAAACGAGCUACCUAAGAACAAUUUUAUGAAUGCACCCGUCUAUGUGGCAAAAUAGUGGGAAGAUUCCUAGGUAGAGGUGAAAAGCCUAACGAGCUUGGUGAUAGCUGGUUGUCCAGAAAGAGAAUUUUAGUUCAGCUAUAAACCUGCCUAAAGAACUAUUAAUCCCCUUGCAAGUUUAACUGCUAAUCUAAAGAGGGACAGCUCUUUAGACAAAGGGUACAACCUCCACUAGAGAAUAAGAACUAAGAAUAACAUAGUUGGCUUAAAAGCAGCCACCAAUUAAGAAAGCGUUAAAGCUCAACCUGCACACCCCCUCCCCUAAUACCAUAAUACUUAAACGAAUUCCUAGCUGUAAACUGGACUAAUCUAUAAACCUAUAGAUGAAAUAAUGUUGGUAUGAGUAACAAGAAAGAUUUUUCUCCUAGCACAAGCGUAUAUCAGCUCGAAUAGUUCACUGAUAGUUAACUCUAAAUGAAUAAAUAUCCACAAAUAAACCCCUUUCUACCAAUAGAGUUAAUCCGACACAGGUGUGCAUUAAGGAAAGAUGAAAAGAAGUAAAAGGAACUCGGCAACUACGAACCCCGCCUGUUUACCAAAAACAUCACCUCUAGCAUAAAAAGUAUUAGAGGCACUGCCUGCCCGGUGACUCACGUUAAACGGCCGCGGUAUCCUGACCGUGCAAAGGUAGCAUAAUCAUUUGUUCCUUAAUUAGGGACUAGCAUGAAUGGCAAGACGAGGGUUUAACUGUCUCUUACUUCCCAUCGGUGAAAUUGACCUUCCAGUGAAGAGGCUGGAAUACAACAAUAAGACGAGAAGACCCUAUGGAGCUUUAAUCUAUUAACUUACUAGCCUAACAAAACAUACCCCAAGGGAAUAACAUACUAAAGUCUAACCUAAGUUAAUGAUUUCGGUUGGGGUGACCUCGGAGCACAAAAAACCCUCCGAAUAGAUUAAACUAAGACCAACUAGUCUAAGUUAUUAAUUUAAUUUAUUGACCCAAAAAAUUGAUCAACGGACCAAGUUACCCUAGGGAUAACAGCGCUAUCCUAUUCGAGAGUCCAUAUCGACAAUAGGGUUUACGACCUCGAUGUUGGAUCAGGACAUCCCAAUGGUGUAGAAGCUAUUAAAGGUUCGUUUGUUCAACGAUUAAAGUCCUACGUGAUCUGAGUUCAGACCGGAGUAAUCCAGGUCGGUUUCUAUCUAUUAGCAAUUUUUCCCAGUACGAAAGGACCAGAAAAAUAGAGCCUCCUAAAACACUAGCGCUCUUAAAAUAAUAGAUGAAAUAAUCUAAAUCUAGAAAAUAUGCUCAACAUAGCCCAAGAACAGGGCUU
rnacentral:rRNA from 1 species